rnacentral:lncRNA from 1 species
UUUUUCUCAUAAUAUUUCAAGAUAAUAUCAUUUGGUUGUCUAUUGGAAGUGCAUCGGAGCAAGAAAAAGAUAUACUUCAUACUAAUUUGCCCAAAUAGUAAUCAUCUUGCCUUCUCCACCUUGAUCCACUUAUUGAGCGGAAGAUAACGAACUAUACAAAAUGCCAUCAUUACUUAAUAGAAACAUGUGCACUCCAUUUUACUACAUAGAGUAUUAUUUAACACACUACCAGCAAACAAUGAGCAAUUUUUUUGUGAGAUAAACAAAGAGCAAUUAAAUUGAAGGACAAUGAGAACAGCCCAUACGUGAUCUCUCUGCAAGAAAAACCUUUGUGGUUUGGAUUGUUAUUAGAAGCAGAACAAUCAAAUACUGCAGUAGAACCCUACAGUAUUGGGAAGAAAAACAAUGUCAAUCACACAAUUGUAUCACUCAGGUAUAGAAAGAUACCAAAAAAUUCAUAAUGGAAUACUACUCAUAGGGAACAAAUUACCUGAAAUGAACCCCAAUAUGCCAUAUGAUUCUACAAAGCAACCAGAAAUGAGCAAUAAAAGAUGUACUAAAUAAACAUGUGUGAUAGGGAG